GCGGCGGCGGCGGCGGCGGCCGCGGGGGAGGGGCACGGCGUCAGCGCGUCGCCGGCUGGGCCGCGUUGGUGGCCAGGAGGGAGAGACUAGGAGGAGGAGGAGGAGGCGAUAUCUCUUCAUUAGCCAAAUCAGACAUAUGUAAAGAGAGACAUCAGUAAAUCUGGAUCAUCAGAAUCUGUGAAGAUUUGAAAGGGCCAAUGAGUAUUCUCAUCAUUGAGGCAUUCUAUGGAGGGUCCCAUAAACAACUGGUGGAUCUGCUUCAAGAAGAGUUAGAACACUGUGUUCUUUAUACCCUUCCUGCAAAGAAAUGGCACUGGAGAGCACGGACGUCGGCUUUGUACUUCUCUCAGAAUAUUCCUGCCAGUGAGCAUUACAGGAUUCUCUUCGCAAGCUCAGUGCUUAACCUGACUGAACUGGCUGCCCUUCGGCCUGACCUUGGGAAAUUGAAAAAGAUUCUGUACUUCCAUGAGAACCAAUUGGUAUAUCCUGUCAAGAAAUGUCAGGAGAGGGAUUUCCAAUAUGGAUACAACCAAAUUCUCUCAUGCCUGGUGGCUGAUGUGGUGGUAUUCAACUCGGUUUUUAAUAUGGAGUCAUUUCUUACUUCUAUUGGAAAAUUCAUGAAGCUGAUUCCUGAUCACAGACCCAAAGAUCUGGAAAGCAUCAUCAGACCCAAGUGCCAAGUUAUUUACUUUCCCAUCAGGUUUCCUGAUGUGAGCAGAUUCAUGCCCAGGCACAAAGCAGCGCACUUACAGAAGAUACCCAGCCUUAAAGGAAAUGGCGGUGUUGCUCCAUCCAUGGCCCUUCCUUUCCAACAGGAGCAGAGAGGUUCUGAGAAUUUAUUGAAGAAUUUUGAUUCAGAGUCUGGAUCCUGUGAUGCUGCACAACAAGAAAACCUGGGUGGCUCAGUAAGGCAGGAGUCAUACUUGAAAACAUUCAGCUCAUCAGAUAAUUCAAGCACUCAUCAUGGGGAACAUAAACAAAAUCCGUGUAACAUUUUGGCUGGAGCUGAUGAUCAACAAAGACCAUUGCAUAUUGUCUGGCCUCACAGGUGGGAGCAUGAUAAAGAUCCAGAGAGUUUUUUUAAGGUAUUGAUGCAUCUUAAGGACUUAGGACUCAAUUUCCACGUAUCUGUCCUUGGAGAAACCUUCACAGAUGUCCCAGGUAUAUUUUCAGAGUCCAAAAAGACAUUGGGAUCUUCUGUCUUACACUGGGGCUACUUACCCAGCAAAGAUGAGUAUUUCCAAGUACUAUGCACGGCUGAUGUUGUCAUCUCGACAGCUAAGCAUGAAUUCUUUGGAGUGGCAAUGUUGGAAGCUGUGUAUUGUGGUUGUUACCCACUCUGUCCCAAAGAUUUGGUUUAUCCCGAAAUAUUUCCAGCUGAAUAUCUGUAUUCUACACCUGAACAGCUUUCAAAAAGGCUCCAGAAUUUCUGCAAGAGACCAGAUAUUGUAAGAAAACAUCUCUAUAAGAUUUUUUCACACCACUACAUCAUGUCAGCAGCUUCUUGAGUUCUAGACUUCGUGGUAGAAUUGCUAACAAUCCUGUUAGAGACUUCAUAAAACUUAGAGAGAAAAGAAGUGACCCAGAACAGAAAAUAAAUGACCCGUGCUGUGAUUAGCAACUCACUGUGUUUGUUUAGUGUCAAGAAUGCUGCUAGGAUUUAAUAAAAAUUUACAAUCAUAGAUCACCUCCCCAAACAAAAGCAAAUAAGCAAAGCACACAUCUUUAAGGUGAGGACUCAGCUGGAACGGGGAAACAAGCCUUCACCAGAACUUGCCCAUCAUGGCACCCUGAUCUUGGACAUCCAGCCUCCGGAACGGAUCCUAGUUCCCCGACCAGGGAUCGAACCCGCGCCCCCUGCAGUGGAGGUGCAGAGUCUUAACCGCUGGGCCACCAGGGAAGUCCCAUCAGAAUAUCCUUGCUCUCGAAAGCCAGCAGUGUUUGCAGCAUUGGAGAUCAAUGACACUACGAUGAUAACGUAUUAUUCUGACAGAAGGAGUGAGAAGAGGAGCCAGCAAGGAUAGCUAGGAUGAAAAAUGAAGUGGAGUUCCUGGGACAGAUGGGGGGCAACUUCUAGACAAAGAUGUGAGAGAAGGAAAGCGAGGAACAGAAGAGAAGGUUUGAAAUAUGAGAGUCUUGAAAACAGCAAACCACCAAACACCCAAAAAGAUGAAGGGCCUGGACUCCACAACCUUCCCUGAAUGCAUGUACCACCAGCAGCUGGAGCUCCCUUAGUCUGCAAACACUUUCUUCAGAACAACUCCAGUUCUGGCUCUGAAGAGGUGAUGGAGUCAAAUGUUGGAAGAGAGAAGAGCUGCUCAUUUCUUCAGGGCCAGAAGGAUUCCGACCACAUUGAAAAGUCAUUGUGAAAACAAGAGCCUGAAAAAAUUAUUCCACUUCAAUUGAACACCACAAGAAAAAGUGGCCUUGACUCAAUUUAAGAAGCGUAUUUGGAGUCCUCCUUAUCUUCACUCCAAGGGAUCUAUUCCUUCAGUCAUUUGAAAAAGGGCUGUUAUCUUCACUAUUGAUUUUCUUAUUAACAAUUCAUCCAUUUGUAUUAAGCUUUCUGCAUUUCCAAAGUGCUUUUGCAUACGUAUCUCGUAAACUGAGGCAUUAAGAUUGGAUAUUUUAAAUCUUCAUAUUAUAGAUUGAAAAGGGAAAAAUCUUUAGAACAUUAUUAAAAUCUCAAAGACAUGAAAAUAGCUAGAAGAAAUUCAAUCAAAUUCCCUAGAUAUCAUGUUCUUGGUUUCCCAAAGAUUGAACUCUCAUUCCAUUUCCUUUGUGGAUUGAGAAUGUGUCUUAGUUGACAACAAUGCCUGGCACAUGGUUACUACUCAAUAAAUGUAUGUUAAACUAAACCUAAUAUUCCUGUUAUAAUAAAGUCAGAUAGAAAUAGAUUUUAAUUCUAAAUCUGUCACUUAAUUGCUCUUUCUUAGCUUAUUUUCCUCAUACUUAAAAUCAGGAAUAACAAUUCUUAUCUUGCGCCAUCAGUGGCGUGCUGGUAAAUGUUUAACAACUUGAUCAUCCACCCCCUUUCCCCUACCCCCCAUAAAAAGGGCCUGGUGCGUAGCUUUUGCCAGUUUCCAUGGUGUAAGUACUCCCACCAUGGACAGUUUCAGGCUUCCAACAUGACAUCACUGAAUGCCGAGUUGGGAAGAGAUGUGAAUAAUCAAUUCUUGUGGGCUAAUAGAAGCUGGUUCUGGCACACCACUGCAUGGCUUUAAAUUUAUGGUUUGAUUUCAUGCAAUUGCUCUUCUGUGUUACUGUACUUUGUGACACUAAGGAUAUCUUAAGACGUGGUAGUUUAGUGGAUGCUGUUGGUGCCAUGCUGUUGGAUCCCUUGCAUACUCUGAGGCAUCCAAUUCCUAACUGCCAUGGGUGUAGGCUGAUAGCCAUUCACAGCUGUGCCUUCUCUGCAGAAUUGCCCUUGACCAGGAGGUGCCUCACCAGGAAGUCUACACACCCACCUCCAACACUGCCCCUCCUGGGACAGACUAUAGACAAUGACUGUCUGACACAGGGGUAGAAAAGUGGUGUAGUUUUGCCUCAAACUGUGACCAACUCUGUGGUACAAUUUGUGCUCCAGAACUUCGUAUGGGAACAAACCGAAGCCGAGACCACAUCCUUUCUUAGUUUCUUCCUCUGCCCUCCCCUUCCUCCCUCAGUCCCUUUCUUUUGAGAGCACUCACGCAAAAAAUAACCUAAACCAGAAGCCCCUUCUUAAGCUCUGCUUCUAGGGAACCUAACCUAAGACUGCUGAAAGGAGAUGUGGUCUUAGAAAGCAACUUGUAAGGAUGGGAUUCUGAAGUUGGAGUCCUUGUUGGCUAGAUGGCAGGCAAUGUGCACCCCGCCACUACUGGAAGGGGGAAUAUUGAUCAUUCCAGUUAUACUGUGGCAGUGCCGUUGCUAAGACUUUCAUCUGUAAUGAACUGGGAUACAGUACAGGUAGAAGGGAUGUAAUAAUUGGUGCAAAGUCUCAGGUAUUUAAGAGACAUGGGGAAAAUAGUAACUGUAAGGACUGUGGAACUAGAUGGCUACUGCUAAGGGCUAUUGAUCCAAUGAAGAGAGAAAAUGACAGGCUCAGAUCUAUUAAUCAAUAGUUUAAAGCAAAGUGUUAGCCAGAAGGCCUUCUUGUAAGCAUUUGAGGCUCUCAUCUUCUGUAGUGGAAGGUCACACACAGCUGAUGAUCAGACAUUAUUUGGUUACUUUAUAUUUAAUUGUAAAAGUGGCUGAAUUGUGGAGAAGGCUAAAUUCUCAGAAUAGACAAGUCUCCUGUGUCAAAGUUAGGCUCUGAUAAGAAGCAAAUGGGAUCUGGGCAGGGAUUUCUGGGUAAAAGUGUUUGAGAAGCUUGAAUUUGCCAAUUUCCCUGAAACCCCGGGUUCUGUAGAAGUGGCUUAAUUCUUGCUGGAAGUUAGAGAUUCUCCUCUUGCUUGAAGAACAUGAAGAACCUUCAAAUGAGAUAGGUCUCUUACAAGACAAUGUUUUUCCUCCUCUUCCCUCAACUCCCCUCUUGGCCCCAGACCUAUAAUUUUGCAAAUCUCAGCACAGGCCGACUGGGAAAAGGAUAGUGAUAUGCAGGACUUGGUUAGCAUGUUCCAGAAAGAAGCAGGAGAGUAUGUCUGAGCCCGCUUGUAGCAGUGGAGAUGACAGGAUCCUUGAAGAGCCAGAAUUUCCCAUUAUGACUAAUUAUUGUCAGACCCUGAUACAGUAAUAUCCCUUGAGGAGACCAACAAGCUACUUGUCGGCUAUUGACUACAUCAGACCCUUUCUAGUGUAGUGUUUCUUCUUGACUGGAUUCCCUCCUACUCCAGGUAUGGGGUUGCCUUUUCUGCUUGGAGGUCCUUGGCCAGCACCACUCUCUGAGGGUUCAUUGAGUGUCUGGUUUACUGGCAGGCAAUCCUGCAUAACAUUACCUUGGACCAAGGGACCACUUUGCAGCAAAUGACUGUGACCUCAGUAGAUAAAAUACAUGGGUCUGGGAAUUUAGGGGUAGAAGUGGGAGGGGUCCUCCGCUUCAUCACUCCUAGUAACUCACUUGGUCAAUCUGUCCUUCCUGUCUCUGCAACAUUGGGCUCUGUAAAUCUUGAAGACCUGGUUCUCAGAUAAGGAUGCCUCCAUCAGGGAUCAUAGUAAAACACAGUAAACUCAAAGUCACAUUGCUGUCACGUUACUUUGGGUUUCCCUUAUAAUCGACCAUGGUUCUCAUAAAAAAAGUUAGGGGUACUGUUACACAAUGGGAAAUACGUGUGCCUCUCCUGCCCACUGUAACUUGUACUUGUGAAGAGCAAGUAUAAGAACUACGGCUCGAGAAGGACAUGGAAACAGAGCCCAGAGAUGAGGACCUGGGUCAAACUACCAGGCAAGCCACCUGGACCAACCAGAGUGCAAACCGAAGGGGACGUGGGUCUAACAUAAGUGAAAGAAAGGGAACUACCUCAGAGUCAACUGCUGCAGCUGGGGCUGUAAUUCAUCCCACUAACCUUUCUUUUUAAAGUUUUCCCAGAAAUUCUGACCAACUAGAAUCCUGAAGAAGCUGUGCCUAGAUGGAAAUGCUUCGUUAUCCAUGGCAAUUUUAUUGCUUAAUGUAAAGGAUUUUACAGUCUCCUCUGUACUGUGGGCUCUGGUUUUUGAUAGACCUCUAACAAAUUGUUUAGUUCAAAUUUGGAGUGUGUGAGUACACGUAGGAGUGCUUGCAUGUGUGUGUCUGUAUGUUUUGAACAUGAAAAUACUCGCAACCUUGAUAACCACUCAGUGAUGACCAAGACUGUGGGAGUAGGUCACGAAUUGUGCCAGCUGGCUGUCCUACAGAUUCAUGCCAUCGAACCUCAGCUGGGCUCUCAUUGCUGUUCAGUCAUUUUUUUGUCUCUGUUUUUUCCCCAUUGUUUCUCCCACAGCUGCUAUUCCAUACCCUGUCCCUUCACCCCAAGUCCAGAAAAAUAUCCCUGUAUAUUUCAUAAGCAGAUGACCUUAGAACAUACUCUACAGUGGUUGAAGCUAUCCCAUCCAAACUUCCUAAUCCUCACUUGCCUUUUGGGACGUUGUUCUCUUCUGAGUCUAUCUUUCUGUUGGUAACUCUUAUUCUUUCUCUCACCCUUCAAAUAGAGCUUCCCUACAGUUCUCUUUGGUCAUCAUCAUCCUAACAGUAAGCCAGGCACAAAACACAUCAAUAUCUUCUUAUCUAUUCUGUCAGUUAUGUGUUCAUAAGGUUUCUCUUCUAAAUCUGCCCUUGAUUGGCACUGCCCUGGUUAGAACCUCAUUUUCUCCCUUCUAGAUAGUAGAAGCCAUCAAUGUCUCUCUUCUGUAUGUCCACCAGGAUAAUCAUUUUAGAAUCUAGACUUGAUCCAUUUUUCUUACUCAGACUUUCUUUCUGUUUUUACUUUUUACUGUGAACAAAGUGUUUUGUAUUUUAUUGUGAAUAUAAUACUUAAUAUGGUGAAAUAGAGCAUACUACAAGAAUGUAUGUAGUAUAUAUAAGUAGCAUUUUAAAAAGAAGAAAAUGACCACUGCUCAUAAUUCAGCCUAAGAAAUAAGAUCCUACCUUUUCAUUUGAAAGUCUAUGUUUUGUGAGUUUCUGCUCAGUUGAAGUCCCCUUCCUCUGCCUCAGAGGUAACUGCUAUCCUGAAUUAUGUUAAUUAAUCCCUUGUUUUCCUUAAAGUUAUCAUAUAUGUGUAUUAAUCUAUGCAGAAAUGGUAUGUGUAUAUACUUAUAAAAAUAUGAAUCUUUGUUAUCUUGUUUUGCCUUCUUUUGUACUUUAUAUAAAAGGAAUCAUAAUAUAUUACUCUGUGACUUGAAAUUAUGUUUUAGAGAUCCAUUUAUGUUGAUGAUUUGCCUGUAAUUUGUGUUUCACUGUUGUAUUCCAACAAAUAUCGAAUUACAAUGUUGUACACCUGAAACUUAUACAAUGUUAUUUACCAAUUUUAUCUCAAUAA